CCCUCCCCUCCCCCUCCUCCCCCUUCCUCUGCCCCUCGGAGGAGCCUGGCCCCGAGCAGCAGCAGCGCCGGACCAGCGGCAGCGGCGGCCCACCCUCUCCUCCUCCCCCCACCCGCUCUCUCUUUCUGGGGCUGCUGCUGCCGCCUCCUCCCCUCUGGGCUCUCUUCUUUCUCCCCUCGCUCGCCCCCACCCCCUCCCCUCGCGGAAUUUCACUGCACUCCGCGGGGCCGGAGCGCAGGCGCGCUUCCUAGCCGGCGCAGCCGCGGUCAGGGAGAGCAGGGCUCCUCCGCCGCCAGAGAGCGCGGAGGGACAGAGAGGAGGAGGAGGCGGAGGAUUCGGAACGGAAGAGGAGGCGGCGGCGCCGGAAGCGGGGAGCCCACAGGGGGCGCUUCCGGGUCCCUCCCCGGCUGCAGAGCGGAAGAGCCGCCUCUGAGCGGAAGCUGCCGCUGCAGAGAAACUGCCCUCUAGAGCUAUCGAUAGAAAUAUAUUUAUUUAUAUAGAAAUGUGUGGCCCUGUUUCCAGUGAGGCUGAUCAUAGAGAAUCAUGGCCAGCCGGGACCGCUUUUCCCCUUCCUUAGCGGAAGUCCAGACUGACUGCGUGUCACUCUAGCCUUUCCCCCCCCUUCUCCCUAGCUCCGUGGGAUUCACCUCUCUUUCUUUCUCUCUCUGACAGAGCGUUGCCCGCCAGGAGGCAUCCGGCGGCGCCAUAUUGGGGAGGUCGGAUGAGAAUAGGGGGACGGUGCGCGCGCAGCCGCGGGUUGAGCGUGGUGGAAGGAGGGCGAGAAUGACUACAGAAGGCCGGCGCCAUCUUGGGGAGGGCAGGACCCUCAAAGUACUCCAACUAUGAAAGGCGAGGAGUGGAUUACAGAAUAUUUCCCACCUCGGUUUGUGCCUCACAACGAUCCUGUAAGAACCCAGGGUGGUGUACAUCUCAUUGUAUACUGACAACACCCUCUGUGAAGAAGAUUGAAAGAUUGUGAUUGACCCAAGAACACUCUGUCAGCUUCACAGAGACUUGAACCCGGGUUGACCUGGCCGUGACAUGAUGCUAACCCCUGCAGCACACCACAUCGGCUCUCAUACCAACAGGGAAUGAACUGUGCUUAAAGAGAGACAGACCAGGUGUGCCGAUGGCUGACCUGGGGACGAGCCGGUAUCUUCCAAGCCCUCGGAUAUUUUUAAAAACCCGCCGUAGCAUAUCUCCCAGAAGAAAAGCCUAUUUUGCCCAGGAAAAAAGAUUCGCACGCCGCACUUCUAACACGGCAGCUUGAAGAACCCUGAACUCCUCAGGCCCAGUAAUUCACGGGAGGGGACGCUUUUGCCAGCCGUCAGUCGGAGGCUGCACAACCUUUUCUGACAACUCUAUUUAUAGCAAGCUGGCUCACAGUUCUGGGGACUGAAGGUUACGUGCAAGGCUCCAGGAUCCGAGCCCUGCCGUGUGGUAGCAUAAGCUCAUCGGUUGGCCAUGCGUCCCCAGCUGACCUGGAGGCCUGCCCGAGGAGAGAGCGGUGUCCAGUGGCGGGGGCCCGAGGGACCCGGACCUGAGUGCUUUGAGUCUGGAGUCCAAACCUCCAGCCGUUUCACGGCAACUUGGGAAAUGUGGGCUCUCUCCUACCCUUCUCCAUUUUUGUAGGGUGGUGUAGUGUGGCCUCUUGGGCUCACAGCGGGAAGCUGCCUUCUACUGAGUCAGACCCUUGGUCUAUUUCGCUCUGGAUUGUCUACCCAGACUGGCAGCGGCUUCUCCCAGGCUGCAGGUGGGAGUCUCUCUCAGCCCUAUCUUGGAGAUGCUGCCAGGGAGGGAACUGGGAACCUUCUGCAUGCAAGCAGGCAGAUGUUCUUCCCAUCCCCAUCGGGAAAUCUCUCCCAGUGCUCACACAUGUAGUCUCCCAUCCAAAUGCAAACCAGGGCAAAACCUGCUUAGCAAGGGUCUGUUAUCUGCUGUUUGCAUUGUUUUGUGAGGAACAUAGGAAGCUGCCAUAUACCGAGUCUGACCCUUGGUCCAUCUAGUCCAGGAUUGUCUACCCAGACUGGCAGUGGCUUCUCCAAGGUUGCGGGCAGGAGUCUCUCUCUCAGCCCUAUCUUAGAGAUGCCUUCUUAUUUAUUUGUCGGUUUGUCUGAUUUCUAUACCGCCCUUCCAAAGAUGGCUCAGGGCGGUUUACACAGAGAAAUAAUUAAUAAAUAAGAUGGGUCCCUGUCCCCAAAGGGCUCACAAUCUAAAACGAAACACCCCAGCAACCGUCACCGGAGAGACUGUGCUGGGGGUGGAUAGGGCCAGUUCCUCACCUCCUGCUAAAUAAAGAGAAUCAUCAUGCUAAUCACCAUGUUCUUGCCCAGUCCCCCAAUAUAGAAACCCAGGGCCAUAUCGACUUCAGUUCUGGAUGUCCCGUUCAUCAGCUGCUGCCGGGUCUCUCUGUCGGUACCUGGCCAGACUCCCCUGCCUUCUGUUUCUAUCUGCACAGAGAAUCUGCAUCUCCAGCUAUUGAUCUCCGUGUGACCAUGUUCUGACUGAGAGCUGCUCUUGUGGAAGCAAGCAUGAGACUUGUCCCCUUUGCUAAGCAGGGUCUGCCUUGGUUUGCAUUUGAAUGGGAGGCCACAUGUGUGAGCACUGUUCAGAUAUUCCCCUUAGGGGAUGGAGCCGCUCUGGGAAGAGCAUCUAGGCUCCAAGUUCCCUCCCUGGCGGC